CAAUAGCGUAUAUUAAAGUUGUUGCAGUUAAAAGCUCGUAGUUGGACUUCUGGGCCGUUUUGUUGGUCUGCCGCAAGGCUGCACUAGCGGGAUGGCCCAUCCUCUCGAAGGCUGGGGUGCUCUUAACUGGGUGCUUUCAGAACUCGGGAUCUUUACUUUGAAAAAUUAGAGUGUUACAAAUGCAGGCUUACGCUUGAAUAUCAAUUAGCAUGGAAUAAUGGAAUAGGACUUUGGUUCUAUUUUGUUGGUUUCUAGAACUGAAGUAAUGAUUAAUAGGGAUAGUUGGGGGCAUUAGUAUUUAAUUGUCAGAGGUGAAAUUCUUGGAUUUAUGAAAGACUAACUUCUGCGAAAGCAUUUGCCAAGGAUGUUUUCAUUAAUCAAGAACGAAAGUUAGGGGAUCGAAGACGAUCAGAUACCA
rnacentral:rRNA from 1 species